UUUGCAUAAUGAGCCAGCGAGUUGCUCGUAUGUUGCAAGGUUAAUCCCCUAAAGGGAGAAGCCGUAGCGAAAGCAAGUCUGAAUAGGGCGAUUAAGUAACAUGCGGCAGACCCGAAGCCAAGUGAUCUAUCCAUGGCCAGGUUGAAGCGGCAGUAACAUGUCGUGGAGGACCGAACCCACCAGGGUUGAAAACCUGGGGGAUGAGCUGUGGAUAGGGGUGAAAGGCCAAUCAAACUUGGCGAUAUCUGGUUCUCCCCGAAAUGCCUUUAGGGGCAGCGUCGUGGGAGUGCCUCGGGGGUAGAGCACUGGAUGGACUAGGGGCCCUACAAGGUUACCAAACCCAACCAAACUCCGAAUACCGAGGUUAUGAUCUACGGCAGUGAGGCCGCGGGGGAUAAGCUUCGUGGCCGAGAGGGAAACAACCCAGACCAACAGCUAAGGUCCCAAAAUCUGAGUUAAGUGACAAAGGAUGUGAGAUUGCCCAGACAGCUAGGAGGUUGGCUUAGAAGCAGCCAUCCUUUAAAGAAAGCGUAACAGCUCACUAGUCAAGGAAUCUUGCGCCGAUAAUCUCCGGGACUUUAAAACUCAGUACCGAAGCUCUGGUCCCGACAUCUUGUGUGUCGGGAGGUAGGGGAGCGUUCCAUCAACCUGUGAAGUUCCAGCCGGGAGGCGGAAUGGAGGAAAUGGAAGUGAGAAUGCUGGCAUGAGUAGCGAUAAUUCCAGUGAAAUUCUGGGACACCGAAAGCCUAAGGUUUCCUGAGUAAAGUAACUCUACUCAGGGUUAGUCGGUUCCUAAGCCGAGGCCGAAAGGCGUAGGCGAUGGAUAACAGGUCAACAUUCCUGUACCACCCACUUAUCGUUUGAACGAUGGGGGGACGCAGAAGUGAAAGAUCAGCCCGGUUUUGAUUGUCCGGGUUUAAGUGUGUAGAGAGUUUCGGCAGGCAAAUCCACCGGAAUAAUCUUGAGACACGAAUAGGAGGGCCUAGCCCACAAACUGAUCCUAAUCAUACUGCCAAGAAAAUCCUCUAAGUGAGAUGAUUGGGUGACCGUACCGUAAUCGGACACACGUAGGCGAGAAGAGUAUUCUAAGGUGCUUGGUUUAAUCCUGGUAAAGGAACUCGGCAAAUUGGCCCCGUAACUUCGGGAGAAGGGGCGCCUCCAGUAGGUUGAAGGCCUUCGCGGCUGAAGCCCAAAGAGGUCGCAGAGAAUAGACUCGGGCGACUGUUUACCAAAAACACAGGUCUCUGCUAAGUCGCAAGACGAAAUAUAGGGACUGACACCUGCCCGGUGCCGGAAGGUUAAGUAGAGGGGUUAUCCCGAACUUGUUCGGGAGAAGCUCUGAAACGAAGCCCCGGUGAACGGCGGCCGUAACUAUAACGGUCCUAAGGUAGCGAAAUUCCUUGUCGGGUAAGUUCCGACCCGCACGAAUGGUGUAACGACUUGAGUACUGUCUCUACCAGGAGACCAGCGAAAUUGUAGCGUCGGUGAAGAUGCCGGCUAACCGCGGCAGGACGGAAAGACCCCGUGAACCUUUACUAUAACCUGAUAUUGGGUUUU
rnacentral:rRNA from 1 species